rnacentral:misc_RNA from 1 species
GCAAAAAAUUUUGUUUUAAAAUAUAUCCUUUUGCUGAUCUUCGUUUUGUUUUUUCAAGUAUAAAUCUUAGAGCAGAAUCAAGUAAAACUUAGGUAAUUCUACUCAGUUCAUCCAAGAGAGGAACUUGAAAACAGAGCAUUAGGCAGUAAAUGGGAAUGGGGUGGCGGGGGGAAAAAGUAAGUGGAUUUGGAAAAAGCCAAUAUAAUUUCUCCUCUUUAUUUGUGGAGAAGUAGAAAUGC